CCAUGCCCAGCCCUUAGGGCCAUUUAGAAACUGACAAUAACAAAUGUUAGAAAGUGAAAUCUGUCCCCUUUCAUCAUUGCCUCCCUCCCCCUGGGACCUUCCCACCAAGAGCAGGGUGACCCUCCCCCACAAUCUCUGCAGCUCUCCCCACUUGUUCCCUUCAUUUUCUUUCCACUUUCUGGGGCUAUUUCCAUCUGAUCUUUUGUGUUUUUGCUCUAUUUACUUCCUGCCUUAGGGUGGACUAGGCCAGAGGGUCAGGUUUGGAAGGGCUCUCAGGAGGUAUCUAGUCCAACCGCUGCUCAAAGGAGGUCCAAGGCCCAGGCAGAUUUUUGCCCUAAAGCCCUAUAUGGUCCCCUCAGGGAUUGAGCUCACAACCCUGGGUGUACCAGGGCAUUGCUCAAACCACAGACCUAGCCCAGGCAAGGAGCAGUGGAGCUAAGUCCUCCGAGCAGCCUAGAGAGACUGUGCAGGAAGCGACCAAUCAGGGAAAGGCUGCAGAAAGCAGCCAAUCAGGGCUCAGGAGGGCCCUAUAAGAGGAGCUGCAGCGGCACAGUCACUCAGUCUCUUGCUGGAGCUAGAGGAGAGGAGAGGAGAGGGGCUCUUGGCUGGCCCAGGGCAAUGGCAGCACCAUGGACAGCUCAGGGCGGGCGGUGAGGACGAGCUCCCGGCUGGCUGCUGGGCCUGGACGUAGACAAGCCCGGCGCCUCCGUCCUGGGCUCCUGCCUCCAGCCGGCGCCGGCCCAGACCCCAGUGACCAUCGUCCUCACCCCGCCGAGCCCCGUGGUGGGAGGGGGCGUCAGCCUGGCCCCGCAGCCACCGCCACAGGGCUUCGUGUCCUGCAGCUGGCACCGAUCACCGAUCAGCACUGAUGGAAACCGCCGGAUCCUCACCUACUUCCCACCUCCAAACCCCGUUCAGAACAACGGCUCGGCCCACACGGGGCGGGAGACAGCGGGGCCGGGCUGCGUCCUGAACAUCGCGGGGUUAACGCUCAACUACACCGGGAACUACACGGUGCAGAUACAGAGCCGGACUAGUCCUGAUCUCUACAUCACGGUGCAUCUGCCCGUCUAUGGUUCAGGCCACAAGAGCAAGACCCCCAGGCGGAGCGAGAUGACCCCCCCAGAGUACGAGAACCAGCCCCCCGCAGCCCGGGCGGGCACAGCGACCCCGCCCAGGAGCCCCCCAGACACCAGCUCCACGUAUGAGACGCUGCAGCCCGGACAGUGGGACGUGUACGACCAGCUGCAGAGAUGAGGCCCCCCCAGUGCCCUGGUGCAUGCUGGGAAGAUCCCUGUAUUGUGUGUGUGGGGGGGUCUCUGCCGCGGGUGUCAGACCCACCUGCUCUUUUACAGCCACUUUGCUCAGUUCACUAACCACCCCCCGCCCUGGGGGGUCACUAGUCCCGGGGGGGCUCUGGGACAAGCUGGCAUCCAGCCUGGGGGGGAGGGGCCCCCUCUUAGCCUUCGGGUUGAGCCAGGGCCAAGGAAGCGGCUGGAGGAGAGACGCUGGGAUCCCACAGCGGGGUGUGGGGGGGUAGGGGCUCCCUGAAGUCUCUCCCCAGAGGGCCCCUGGCUGACCCCAGAGCGGUUGCAGUGGGUCUGUCACAGGAACCCAGCGCAGCCCUGGCCAUGUGCCCCCAUUGGGGGGCCCAGCGCAGCUGUGGGGUCUGGGACCGCAGGAGAGGGGGGCAAGUUACCACCAGGACUGCGAUUACUCUGCCAUGCACGGUGCGGGGGCAGCCCGGCUGCUCGGUACCGGCCAGAGCCCGUUUUCCCCUUUCUGCACCGUGAGCAUGUGUCCUGGUAGCUCCAACUCGGCAAGUGCCGGGGCCCAACGCCAGCCUGGGGCGUGUCCACCCAGCUGUGACAGGAGCUGUGGGAGCGCGAAUAGAGACCCAGAGUCAUGCCAAGGAGAGCCUGGUGCAUGUUGGGAGCCCAGUGCAUGCUGGGAGGCCUCACAAAAAUCCCUGAAAAUGUGACCCAGAUAUGACCAGCGCUGCCUGAGUCUGCAGAGAGCCUGAGCCGAUUGCUCUGGGAGAGCCAACAGCUGCCCCAUCCCUGUCUCUGUGAUGUUAACUCUGGUCCCUAUUGACAACAGGGCUGUGCUCUUAACACUUUCGUUUCUGGUGACUUGGGAACAUCCAGCCAAUGGGUCAACCUCCCAGCUCUGCCCCACCCCCAAUUCCCAGCUGCGGGCGGUGCGGAGAACGGGCAGCAAUACCCGGUGGGAGGGGCCGAGGGUAACCGGCAGGAACAGGAGCGGGUGGGGGGCCUGUGAAGGAGCGUGAGACCCAGUGACAGACACCCCCGGGAAGUCACCCCCCCACAUGACCGCACACACACAGACACACACACUGUUCCCUAGCAGCCGAAGGGGAAGUGGGCGGGUGCGGCUGGGAGGGACAGUCUCAGCCAGGAGGGGCCCUGUGGGGCUGCUCUGCCUGUGGGUCCAGGCUCCCAGCACAGACACCCCCACCCCCGCACUGGAUCGAGAUGGGUCCUUGGUGCUGGAACUAGGGGGCUGCCGCACCCCCGGCCGGACGUGGUUUCCAUCAUACGCAGGGUUUGCAGUUUGGGUCAAUGGCUCUCAGCCCCCCACUGUCCAUAUGGCUCCAGCCCCCCGGGUCCUGCUGCAGCGAAGGGCAAAGCCCAGAGGGUCCCAGCCCAGGGGUGCAAAUCAGGCCUGGCCCAGCGGGGCCGCCCCCCGGCUCACCAGGAGGGGGGCCGAGAGCUCCCUCCCGGGGCAGCCCCUGUCCGGCUGAGCCCUGCGGGGGGCUGGGCCGCGCUUCGCCAGCAGGGGGCAGCAGCGAGUGCCCAGCCCGGCCGGGCUCCGGGCCAGAUGCACCCGGGUCCCCUUGGCCCUGCUGGGGCCGGAUCGCGCCGGGGGCUCCCUCGGUCUGGCUGCUUCGCGGGUGGGCCUUUGCUCCCCUCUGAUCCCCCCCGACCCCCCUCCACAGGCAGCACAACCCCCUGCUCAGCCCUCAACAAGUCAGUGAUCGGCCCCCCAAUUGCCCAGUAUCCCCCUGGGGCGCCCAGCCCCUGGUGCUGCCACUGGCCGAGUUCCCAGCUCCACCUCAAGGACUAGGACCCCCAGCUGAGCAGUGACCCCCCCCCAGCCAGCGCCCCGCUCAGCCCCGGCAGGGCCAGGCCUUACAGAGAAAAUCAGGCUGAGUGUCUGGACCAGAGCCCAGAGCUGGGAGAAGGAGCCGCUGGGGGCUCCUGUUAUUUACUCCUCAUAACACAAGAACUAGGGGCCAACAAAUGAAAUGAACAGGCAGCAGGUUUAAA